rfam:Bombyx mori DNA, contig: Bm_scaf4_contig4067, strain: p50T/Dazao, build 2, whole genome shotgun sequence.
UUAAAUCAAAUUUGUAUGGAGUUGGCACGUUCGCCUACGUUUGCCGCUAGGGGCGCUGUUUCAACUGCAUACAAAUUUGAGUUA